rnacentral:lncRNA from 1 species
UGAAAUUAACUUUAUUUAUUCAUCGUUCAAAUAGAUAAAAAAACAAUUACAUGUUUACUACAAUAUUAACACAUUUCCCAACAAAAACAAUGUCAAACUUUUUUCCCUUCGUUUUAAAGGGAGAAUAAUAUCAAUUUUCAAGACGAAUCAAAUUAAGCAAAAAUAUUUAUUUAGGAUUAUUAUCGUUUGCCACAUGUAAAGGCGAAUUUAGGGAGGGCUGACAGGGCCCCCGACCCUUCUAAAUUUUUGUAAAAUUACUUUUUAAGCCCAUUUAAUUUUUUUAAUUUU